rnacentral:rRNA from 1 species
UGGGGAAUCUUGCGCAAUGGGCGAAAGCCUGACGCAGCAACGCCGCGUGGAGGAUGAAGGCCCUUGGGUUGUAAACUCCUGUCGGCUGGGAAGAAGUCGUUCGCGGUUAAUACCCGCGGACGUUGACUGUACCAGCAAAGGAAGCCCCGGCUAACUCUGUGCCAGCAGCCGCGGUAAUACAGAGGGGGCCAGCGUUAUUCGGAAUUAUUGGGCGUAAAGGGCGCGUAGGCGGCCAUGCGUGUCUUCCGUGAAAUCCCUCGGCUCAACCGAGGACGUGCGGAAGAAACUGCAAGGCUCGAGUCCAGAAGAGGGGGGCGGAAUUCCCAGUGUAGCGGUGAAAUGCGUAGAUAUUGGGAGGAACACCGGUGGCGAAGGCGGCCCCCUGGGCUGGUACUGACGCUGAGGCGCGAAAGCGUGGGUAGCAAACGGG